CUACGGGUUGCUGCAGUGGGGAAUUUUGGACAAUGGAGGAAACUCUGAUCCAGGGAUACCGCGUGGGUGAUGAAGAUUUACGGAUUGUAAAGCCCUUUUAGUAGGGAAAAUAAUGAUGGUACCUACAGAAAAAGCAUCAGCUAACUCUGUGCCAGCAGCUGCGGUAAUACAGAGGAUGCGAGUGUUAUUCGGAAUCACUGGGCGUAAAGGGCGCGUAGGCGGUUAUUUAAGUCCGCAAUAAAAUACCGGGGCUCAACUUCGGUGCUGUUGUGGAUACUGUUUAACUAGAGAACGGAAGAGGUGAAUAGAAUUCCUGGUGGAGAGGUGACAUUCUUAGAUAUCAGGAGGAAUGCCAGAGGCGAAAGCGGUUCACUGGGACGUUUCUGACGCUGAGGCGCGAAAGCGUGGGGAUCAAACAGGAUUAGAUACCCCAGUAGUC
rnacentral:rRNA from 1 species